GCCCUCGUAGCUCAAUGGUAGAGCGCGUCACUAGUAAUGAGAUGACGAGGUCGCCAGUUCAAUUCUGGUCGAGGGCU
rfam:Glarea lozoyensis 74030 unplaced genomic scaffold M7I_scaffold28, whole genome shotgun sequence.